GAUGAACGCUGGCGGCGUGCCUAAUACAUGCAAGUCGAGCGAACAGACGAGGAGCUUGCUCCUUUGACGUUAGCGGCGGACGGGUGAGUAACACGUGGAUAACCUACCUAUAAGACUGGGAUAACUUCGGGAAACCGGAGCUAAUACCGGAUAACAUGUUGAACCGCAUGGUUCAACAGUGAAAGACGGUCUUGCUGUCACUUAUAGAUGGAUCCGCGCCGCAUUAGCUAGGUGGUAAGGUAACGGCUUACCAAGGCAACGAUGCGUAGCCGACCUGAGAGGGUGAUCGGCCACCCUGGAACUGAGACACGGUCCAGACUCCUACGGGAGGCAGCAGUAGGGAAUCUUCCGCAAUGGGCGAAAGCCUGACGGAGCAACGCCGCGUGAGUGAAGAAGGUCUUCGGAUCGUAAAACUCUGUUAUUAGGGAAGAACAAAUGUGUAAGUAACUAUGCACGUCUUGACGGUACCUAAUCAGAAAGCCACGGCUAACUACGUG
rnacentral:rRNA from 1 species